AGAAUCAACGCUGGCGGCGUGCCUAACACAUGCAAGUCGCACGAGAAAGGGGAGCAAUCCCUGAGUAAAGUGGCGCACGGGUGAGUAACACGUGAAUAAUCUACCUCCGAGUGGGGAAUAACUGAGAGAAAUCUUAGCUAAUACCGCAUAACACUUACGAGUCAAAGUCGCAAGACGCCGGAGGAGGAGCCUGCGCCCGAUUAGCUAGUUGGUGAGGUAAGAGCUCACCAAGGCGACGAUCGGUAGCUGGUCUGAGAGGAUGAUCAGCCACACUGGGAUUGGAGAACGGCCCAGACUCCUACGGGGGCAGCAGUGAGGAAUUUUCGUCAAUGGGGGCAACCCUGAACGAGCAACGCCGCGUGCAGGAAGACACUUUUCGGAGCGUAAACUGCUUUUCUCGGGGACGAGUAAGGACGGUACCCGAGGAAUCAGCCCCGGCUAACGUACGUGCCAGCAGCCGC
rnacentral:rRNA from 1 species